CUCCAAGGCUUACUUUUUGAAAUGACUGAGAAUUCAUUUUCGAUAUGAGUGAGAGCUCCUAUCAGCCACAUGUUAGGAUGCGUAUUACCAGCUCUUUUCUUUACCUUUGCACAGUACACAGAAGGAAAAACAAAGACCAGAUUUUGAACCAAGUAACUUUAUUUAACUUAAAACAGCACUGUAUAUAACUUUAAAUAUUGUAAAAAAUGAAAUAUCAGUUAAAUACUAAUUCAGUAAAAAUUGUCUUGGUAUGGAAAUAUCUCUUUCUGUUGUAUAUGCAUUGUUCAAUUGCCAUGUCACUUUCUUGAGUAUUACCAGAAUAUUAAUAAGUAUAGUUGAGCCAGCUUCCUAAUAUUAUGGAAUCUAGGAUAGUUGUUGACUUUGCGG